rnacentral:rRNA from 1 species
UACGGAGGGGACUAGCGUUGUUCGGAAUUACUGGGCGUAAAGCGCACGUAGGCGGAUUUGUAAGUCAGGGGUGAAAUCCCGGGGCUCAACCCCGGAACUGCCUUUGAUACUGCGAAUCUCGAGUCCGGAAGAGGUGAGUGGAAUUCCUAGUGUAGAGGUGAAAUUCGUAGAUAUUAGGAAGAACACCAGUGGCGAAGGCGGCGCACUGGUCCGGUACUGACGCUGAGGUGCGAAAGCGUGGGGAGCAAACAGG